rnacentral:rRNA from 20 species
AAACGACUCUCGGCAACGGAUAUCUCGGCUCUUGCAUCGAUGAAGAACGUAGCGAAAUGCGAUACUUGGUGUGAAUUGCAGAAUCCCGUGAACCAUCGAGUCUUUGAACGCAAGUUGCGCCCGAGGCCAUUUAGGUUGAGGGCACGUCUGCCUGGGCGUCACACACA